rnacentral:lncRNA from 1 species
GGAAUGAGGUUAAUGGUGCUUGGGAUCAUACAGUGUUGCUGCUUCAUGCCCUGGCCAAUAAGGUGGGUCUGAAAUUUCAGAGGAAUCAACUUGUUCCCUAUGGAAAUCAUUCAUAUCUGGAGUCUCUGACAGACAAAUCUAAGGAGCUGCCAUUAUAUUGUUCUGGGGGUUUGUGGUUUUUCUGGGACAACAAGUUUGACCAUGAAAUGGUGGCUUUCCUGGACUGUGUGCAGUAAUUCAAAGAAGAGGUGGAGAAAGGUGAAGCACAAUUUUGUCUUCCUUACAGGAUGGAUGUGGAAGAAAGCAAGAUUGAAGAUACAGGAGGCAGUGGUA